rnacentral:lncRNA from 1 species
GGGACCCUGCGCGGGGCGGGGCGAGCGGGAGGGAGGCGGCCCCUGAGCCGGUGGCCGGCCGGGCUGGGACCCUGGGCGGGACCGCCGCGGGGACAGCGCUGGGUGAGACCGGCAUCCGUCCCCGGGGCGCGGGGGUGACCGCCAGGAGGUGUCUCGCAGGCCACAGGCAGGGCCGGCCCGGGCCGUGCGUCUCUGGUGGUAGUAAGAUCCAGAGCUUUGCGGAGCUUCCCACGUCCAGGAGCACAUCUAACUUAUCGAACGCUCCCGGCAGCCCUAUGGAACAGACAGGACGAUCAUCCUCCCAUAAUACACAUGAGGAAACCAGACACAGAGAGGUUUAGGAGCUUGCCUGAGGUCACACAGCCAGUAAGUGACAGAGCUGGGGUGAGAACACAGAUGAUGUGGCAACACUACCCUCUUAGCACGGUGCCCUAUAGCUACUCCGGCUUCUUGGCCAGAUGUGGCUGACGGACAAGGAGAAGUUAUUGAGAUGAAAAGGAGAGGAAGGGAGUUCCAGCAGAGGGAACUGCAUGAACAGAAGCCCUGAGGCAUGAGGAGAUGUUCUCCGCGUGGCAGUGAACGUGGCCCCUUCAACUCCCUGUGCUGGUGUCAAGUCCCAGCUCGGAAACCAUUGGCCCAGCUGGGGGCAGAUGCCCGCCCAGACCAUCAUACUGUGGCUGGAGACAGGGUCGUGCACAAGCAUGGCUCGUCCCUGGGAACCAUAUGGAUGGAGCUGGGUUUCAGUGAAGAAUUGGCAUCCAGAACACUGAGCUGCCCUCGCCUCCCAGACCGCGAGCCUGAGUCGGCCGCUGCCCUGCACCGUGGUCCCCCAGCUCCCGAAACUGUGCUGGGAAACCCCGUUUCGCCAAGAAUGGCUAAAGCAGUGCUGCCACUGAUGAGAUCUGUUCCACGGAGACCCUCGGCCCCAGCCCUGAGGCCUGCUGGCCUGGGAGCACCCUCUCCCCAUCCUACCUCGGAAUCUUUUCGGGCAUCUCCCUUGCCUGCGGAGGAGUCUGCCUAG